rnacentral:rRNA from 1 species
UACGGAGGGAGCUAGCGUUGUUCGGAAUUACUGGGCGUAAAGCGCACGUAGGCGGCUUUGUAAGUUAGAGGUGAAAGCCCGGGGCUCAACUCCGGAACUGCCUUUAAGACUGCAUCGCUUGAAUCCAGGAGAGGUGAGUGGAAUUCCGAGUGUAGAGGUGAAAUUCGUAGAUAUUCGGAAGAACACCAGUGGCGAAGGCGGCUCACUGGACUGGUAUUGACGCUGAGGUGGCGAAAAGCGUGGGGAGCAAACACGG